rnacentral:lncRNA from 1 species
CGAGAACUCUCGAGGAGAGCCGACUAUGAAGAUCCCAGGACGUGGGAAGGUUUCCCCCGCCCCCGAGUGCAGAUGUUGCUGCUAACGUUCAGCCCUGACGCCAUGUCCAAUAGGAACGGCCCUUCACUCUCAGAAACGCGGGCCGGAGAAACCGUGGAGGUCUUUUGCACCUUGCCGUUUGCCUCCCAGGUUCAACAUGAUAGGAUGUGGAUUAUCAGGGCCUGGGAACAGUGUAAAGGAACGCGCAGGUCCCCACCCUAAGCGCGUACGCGGGGCCUCGCUUUAGAAAAUAAAUGAAUUCUACCAAAAAUCCUAUAGUUUUAAAGCUGGAAUUGAACUGACUCUCUUCCCCAACCCUCCACCCCUACCGCGCCUCUCCCUUCAGUAAAUGCACAUAUACAUGUGAGAAGUAAAAGAACAAUGUAAUUAAGAGUCUCCAGC